rnacentral:rRNA from 1 species
GACAGAGGGUGCAAACGUUGUUCGGAAUUACUGGGCGUAAAGCGCGUGUAGGCGGCUCGGAAAGUCGGAUGUGAAAGCCCAGGGCUCAACCCUGGAAGUGCACUCGAAACUCCCGAGCUGGAGUCCCGGAGAGGAAGGCGGAAUUCUCGGUGUAGAGGUGAAAUUCGUAGAGUAUCGAGAGGAACACCUGUGGCGAAGGCGGCCUUCUGGACGGUGACUGACGCUGAGACGCGAAAGCGUGGGGAGCAAACAGG